GACGAACGCUGGCGGCGUGCUUAACACAUGCAAGUCGAACGGAAAGGCCCUGCUUUUGUGGGGUGCUCGAGUGGCGAACGGGUGAGUAACACGUGAGUAACCUGCCCUUGACUUUGGGAUAACUUCAGGAAACUGGGGCUAAUACCGGAUAGGAGCUCCUGCUGCAUGGUGGGGGUUUGAAAGUGUCGGGGGUUGGGGAUGGACGCGCGGCUUAUCAGCUUGUUGGUGGGGGAGUGGCUGACCAAGGGUUUGACGGGUAGCCGGCCUGAGAGGGUGACCGGCCACAUUGGGACUGAGAUACGGCCCAGAGUAGUACGGGAGGCAGCAGUGGGGAAGAUUGCAGAAUGGGCGGAAGACUGAUGCAGCAACGCCGCGUGCGGGAUGACGGCCUUCGGGUUGUAAACCGCUUUCGCCUGUGACGAAGCGUGAGUGGCGGUAAUGGGUAAAGAAGCACCGGCUAACUACGUG
rnacentral:rRNA from 1 species